rnacentral:rRNA from 1 species
GGCGAACGCUGGCGGCGUGCUUAACACAUGCAAGUCGAACGGAAAGGCCCUGCUUUUGUGGGGUGCUCGAGUGGCGAACGGGUGAGUAACACGUGAGUAACCUGCCCUUGACUUUGGGAUAACUUCAGGAAACUGGGGCUAAUACCGGAUAGGAGCUCCUGCUGCAUGGUGGGGGUUGGAAAGUUUCGGCGGUUGGGGAUGGACUCGCGGCUUAUCAGCUUGUUGGUGGGGUAGUGGCUUACCAAGGCUUUGACGGGUAGCCGGCCUGCGAGGGUGACCGGCCACAUUGGGACUGGGAUACGGCCCAGACUCCUACGGGAGGCAGCGGAGGAGAAUAUUGCACAAUGGGCGGAAGCCUGAUGCAGCAACGCCGCGUGCGGGAUGACGGCCUUCGGGUUGUAUACCGCUUUCGCCUGUGACGAAGCGUGAGUGACGGUAAUGGGUAAAGAAGCACCGGCUAACUACGUG